AUUGAACGCUGGCGGAAUGCUUUACACAUGCGAGUCGAACGGCAGCACGGGGGCAACCCUGGUGGCGAGUGGCGAACGGGUGAGUAAUACAUCGGAACGUGCCCGGUCGUGGGGGAUAACGUAGCGAAAGUUACGCUAAUACCGCAUACGAUCUGAGGAUGAAAGCGGGGGACCUUCGGGCCUCGCGCGAUCGGAGCGGCCGAUGUCAGAUUAGGUAGUUGGUGGGGUAAAGGCCUACCAAGCCGACGAUCUGUAGCUGGUCUGAGAGGACGACCAGCCACACUGGGACUGAGACACGGCCCAGACUCCUACGGGAGGCAGCAGUGGGGAAUUUUGGACAAUGGGCGCAAGCCUGAUCCAGCCAUUCCGCGUGCAGGACGAAGGCCUUCGGGUUGUAAACUGCUUUUGUAUGGAACGAAAAGGCUCUGGCUAAUACCUGGGGCUCAUGACGGUACCGUAAGAAUAAGCACCGGCUAACUACGUG
rnacentral:rRNA from 1 species